AUAUAUAUAUGAAACUAUAAAAUAAGAUUUUGUCUGCAAAAACCCUAAAACAUUUUUUCUCAAAAUCAUAAAUCAGAUUCUCUCGCUAAAACUGUAAAAUCAUAUUUUCUCAUUAAAUUAUGUCUUUCCUCCAAAACCAAAACCAAUGUUUCCUUUCACAGCUUCAAAAUCAUGUUUUCCCGAUAAAAUCUUAAAGCGCAUUUUCCACUAAAACCAUAAAAGCACAUUUUCAUCAAAACCACAAAAAUCAUGUAAUCUUGCCAAAACUAGAAAACACAUUUUC
rnacentral:lncRNA from 1 species